UGUGUCUUUUUAAACUCUGUCCACUUGUAGCUGUUGGUCAAGAAUUUGCAGUUUGAGGACGGGAAGAUGAUAUCUGCCUCACAGUACUUUUGCUCAGGAAGCAAAGCAGCUGUGGAGCUAACGGAGGAGGAAAAAAACUUUGCUGAUCAGAUCAAGUCAGUGUGGCACAGCAUUCUGACCAAUGUCAGUCAGAUUGAAGACUCCACUGAUUUCUUCAAGUCAGGAGCUGCCUCCAUGGAUGUGGUCAGGU